UACGGCCAUAUCACAUAAAAACGGCGGUUCCCAUACGAUCACCGAAGUUGAGUCAUGUCGAGCCUGAUCAGUACCUGGAUGGGUGGCCGCUUGGAAACAACAGGUGAUGUAA